GUGGUAAUGCCGGAUGCUCCAUCACACUGCAUGGUGUGUUGGGAAAGCCUUUGCGGCAUGGGAUGGGGUCGCGUCCUAUCAGCUUGAUGGCGGGGUAACGGCCCACCAUGGCUUCGACGGGUAGCCGGCCUGAGAGGGCGACCGGCCACAUUGGGACUGAGAUACGGCCCAGACUCCUACGGGAGGCAGCAGUGGGGAAUAUUGCACAAUGGGCGCAAGCCUGAUGCAGCGACGCCGCGUGAGGGAUGGAGGCCUUCGGGUUGUAAACCUCUUUUGUUAGGGAGCAAGGCAUUUUGUGUUGAGUGUACCUUUCGAAUAAGCACCGGCUAACUACGUGCCAGCAGCCGCGGUAAUACGUAGGGUGCAAGCGUUAUCCGGAAUUAUUGGGCGUAAAGGGCUCGUAGGCGGUUCGUCGCGUCCGGUGUGAAAGUCCAUCGCUUAACGGUGGAUCCGCGCCGGGUACGGGCGGGCUUGAGUGCGGUAGGGGAGACUGGAAUUCCCGGUGUAACGGUGGAAUGUGUAGAUAUCGGAAAAGAACACC
rnacentral:rRNA from 1 species